GUGGGGAGCUUUGUGUGGUGAGAUAUUGGCUCUCAAAAAUUCGGCCCUUUGGUGAAAAUUGGGGUUUUGAGAGUUUCUACCUCAAUUGAAGCUUGAGGAGCCAUCAAUCCUUGGUUGUGUGACCAUUGGUGGAUUGAGACAUUUGGACCGACCGUGAGUGAUCAACCGCUUGAGCAAGCUAUGGAGCUUGAGUAGCUCAUUGGAAUUGGUGUUGGUUUUGGAGUAGAGUAUUGUUGACAUUGGUGGUGAACUAAGGUUGCUGAAGCUUUGAGGUAAGGAUGCUGCAGGAGCCUCUGGUGGCAAGUGGCCAUAUCUGGAUUAUGCAUGAAAUGUGGC